GCGCCCGUGGUCCAAUGGAUAGGACGCAAGCCUCCGGAGCUUGAGGUAGGGGUUCGAUUCCCUUCGGGCGCACCA
rnacentral:tRNA from 1 species